UACGUAGGGUGCGAGCGUUAAUCGGAAUGACUGGGCGUAAAGGGUGUGUAGGCGGUUUGUUAAGUCGGAUGUGAAAUCCCCGGGCUCAACCUGGGAACUGCGUUGGAAACUGGCAAACUAGAGUACGUAAGAGGGGGGUGGAAUUCCACGUGUAGCAGUGAAAUGCGUAGAGAUGUGGAGGAACACCGAUGGCGAAGGCAACCCCCUGGGACGAUACUGACGCUGAGGCACGAAAGCGUGGGGAGCAAACAGG
rnacentral:rRNA from 1 species